rnacentral:rRNA from 1 species
AUUGAACGCUGGCGGCAGGCCUAACACAUGCAAGUCGAGCGGAGCGGCGGACGGGCGAGUAAUGCCUAGGAAUCUGCCCGGUCGUGGGGGAAAACGUCCGGAAACGGGCGCUAAUACCGCAUACUAUCAGAUGAGCCUCUGUUGGGUUAGCUAGUUGGUGGGGUAAAGGCCUACCAAGGCCACGAUCCGUAACUGGGCUGAGAGGAUGAUCAGUCACACGGGAACUGAGACACGGUCCAGACUCCUACGGGAGGCAGCAGUGGGGAAUAUUGGACAAAGGGAGAAAGCCUGAUCCAGCCAUGCCGCGUGUGUGAAGAAGGUCUUCGGAUUGUAAAGCACUUUAAGUUGGGAGGCGUUACCAACAGAAUAAGCACCGGCGAACUUCGUGCCAGCAGCCGCGGUAAUAC